GACGAACCGUGCGAACGUUGUUCGGAAUCACUGGGCUUAAAGGGCGCGUAGGCGGGUUCGCAAGUCUGUGGUGAAAGCCCCCAGCUUAACUGGGGAAGUGCCGUGGAUACUGCGAAUCUUGAGGAGGGUAGGGGCAUCUGGAACGGUCGGUGGAGCGGUGAAAUGCGUUGAUAUCGACCGGAACUCCGGUGGCGAAGGCGAGGUGCUGGACCCUUUCUGACGCUGAGGCGCGAAAGCGUGGGGAGCAAACAGG
rnacentral:rRNA from 1 species